rnacentral:rRNA from 1 species
GAUGAACGCUAGCUACAGGCUUAACACAUGCAAGUCGCAGGGUAACAUGAGGAAAGCUUGCUUUCCUUGAUGACGACUGGCGCACGGGUGAGUAACGCGUAUCCAACCUUCCCAUAACUACGGGAUAACCCGUUGAAAGACGGCCUAAUACCGUAUGAUAUCGUUUGCUGACAUCAAAUAACGAUUAAAGGUUUAGCGGUUAUGGAUGGGGAUGCGUCUGAUUAGCUUGUUGGCGGGGUAACGGCCCACCAAGGCGACGAUCAGUAGGGGUUCUGAGAGGAAGGUCCCCCACAUUGGAACUGAGACACGGUCCAAACUCCUACGGGAGGCAGCAGUGAGGAAUAUUGGGCAAUGGGCGAGAGCCUGAACCAGCCAAGUAGCGUGCAGGACGACGGCCCUAGGGGUUGUAAACUGCUUUUAUGUGGGGAUAAAGUGCGUGACGUGUCAUGCAUUGCAGGUACCACAUGAAUAAGGACCGGCUAAUUCCGUG